rnacentral:tRNA from 1 species
GCCGUCCUGGGCGAGGAGUUCGGUCUGCAGGGUCCGGACCUGGCGGAAUUCCAGUGGAUCAUCGACCCGCUGGACGGCACCA